UACGGGGGGGGCAAGCGUUGUUCGGAAUUACUGGGCGUAAAGGGCUCGUAGGCGGCCAACUAAGUCAGACGUGAAAUCCCUCGGCUUAACCGGGGAACUGCAUCCGAUACUGGAUGGCUUGAAUUCGGGGAGAGGGAUGCAGAAUUCCAGGUGUAGCGGUGAAAUGCGUAGAUAUCUGGAGGAAUACCGGUGGCGAAGGCGGCAUCCUGGACCGACAUUGACGCUGAGGAGCGAAAGCUAGGGGAGCAAACGGG
rnacentral:rRNA from 1 species